GUGAGGAAUAUUGGACAAUGGGCGCAAGCCUGAUCCAGCCAUGCCGCGUGCAGGAAGACGCAUCUAUGGUGUGUAAACUGCUUUUGUACGGGAAGAAACACUCCCUCGUGAGGGAGCUUGACGGUACCGUAAGAAUAAGGAUCGGCUAACUCCGUGCCAGCAGCCGCGGUAAUACGGAGGAUCCAAGCGUUAUCCGGAAUCAUUGGGUUUAAAGGGUCCGUCGGCGGUUUAAUAAUUCAGUGGUUAAAGCCCAUCGCUCAACGAUGGAACGGCCAUUGAUACUGUUAGACUUGAAUUACAAGGAAGUAACUAGAAUAUGUAGUGUAGCGGUGAAAUGCUUAGAUAUUACAUGGAAUACCAAUUGCGAAGGCAGGUUACUACUUGUGGAUUGACGCUGAUGGACGAAAGCGUGGGGAGCGAACAGGAUUAGAAACCCGAGUAGUCC
rnacentral:rRNA from 1 species